CGUCCAUCCUACACAUCAACUCUCAUGUCUGCACCCUGACCUAGGAACACCUGCUCUAACAACGCGGGCCGUUGAACCAGUCUCUCUCGCUUGGUUAGCAUCGACCGGUCCGUCCAUCUUGGUCUAGAUGUGGUAGUGGCUUAGACAGGCUGUCAUCAUCUUGGCCUUCCCAUCGUUGCCAUCGCCAAUAUCUCCAGGACUACGCCUUCACUGCCCUGGUUGAACCGACAAAUCUUAUUUACCGUCCUACCGAGGCUCUACCCCGGAAUAACACAAGAUAUCCACACGGCACUGAUUGCCACACGACAAUAGGGUGCGAAAGCCAAAGGCCUACCAACCUGAUAGUCAUACUGGUCUUCGAACAACAUAGCCAGGCGAGUCUUCCGGGUGCCCGCUAUCCCCACACUGUCUGUGUCUUGCCGUUGCCAUCGGAAGGUUGCAAGCACCCGUCUCUACCAACCUCAACCAACCACUGGUAGGACCAAGCAGAAGUUGUCAAACGGCUGCGCGAGUCCACACUUUCUUCCUCCUUGCAAGGAUCAACUGGGGCAGUCCUGCUCCCAUCUUGCUCUCCUCUUUGCCCCAUCGCCAGGCCAGCCACUUGUUUCGAAGAGGUUUGUGCGUGCCAAAGCAUUUGUGCUAUCACCACUCAGACCGGCACCCAUCUCUAGUAUCAAGUCAAGCUCCCGCAUCGCUUUACUUUUCGACGUAGGGGGCGCGCUUUGCAACGCUGAAUCCUUUGACCCAACAAUUUCAGAAAGGAAUAUUGAGCAAUAUUCAUCCGAUAGUUUUGCGCUCUUCAUUCGGGCCUGUCUCAGUCUUGAUCAAUAAACAAAGACUUUGCCACGAUCCGACUGUCUCCACCUGUGCAAAGUCUACCAAACACCUCUGGCUCCAUCUCUAACAUUAAGGACGCCAUUCUUUGUCUCUAUGCUUGGAUAGAUCCACUUAAUCUUAGCCUUGAUCCAUCCAAUCUUUCUGUUUGGCAGUGGUCCCAGCUUGUCUCCGGUCCCAGCACGUUCCCGGUCCCUUUGCACGACUGGGGAAGAAUCUGUCUUGCCUGGCCACUACUCUUGAAACAAGUCCUAGCCUUUGGCUCACUUUGUGGUUCACAGCUGCACGUCGAGGCAGAACUGGUUCGACCGAACAUCAACAAUCUAUCCCACCAACACCCAGAGACACUUGCCAGCUUUGUUUUGGUUCAAAGGAUCAUUCUCCGUCUCAGCCAUUUUUUUUUAAUUUGAGACGACUGUUGUUUUCAUUGUACAGUCAACCAGCCUGGUAGGCUCAUUGAAGAAUAAAUCAG